AUUAAAGUUGUUGCAGUUAAAAAGCUCGUAGUUGGACUUGUGUGCGCUGUCCGCGGAUGGCCUGCGCCCAAAAGGGCGUUUCGGUUCGGCCCCGGUGGCGCCUUGAAAUCUGCAGCUGGGGGGACGUUGGCCUUAACUGGUCGGCGACCGCACGCCGGCUGCUCGGUUACUGUGAGAAAAUUAGAGGGUUCAAGGCAGGCAUUGGGUGCAAUUGAAUACAUUAGCAUGGAAUAAUAAAAUAUGGCUCCUGCCGUAUUUUGUUGGUUUUGACUGGUGGGAGUAAUGAUUGAUAGGGACGGUUGGGGGUGCUAGUAUUGAGCGGCCAGAGGUGAAAUUCAUGGAUUCGCUCAAGACUAACUUAUGCGAAAGCAUUCACCAAGGACGUCCUCUUUAAUCAAGAACGAAAGUUGGGGGAUCGAAGACGAUCGGAUACCGUCGUAGUCUCAACCAUAAACUAUGUCGACUUGGGAUCGGCGGUAGUUUUUUCAUUAAGACACUGUCGGGACCACGGGAGAAAUCAAAGUGUCUGGACUCUGGGGGAAGUAUGGUCGCAAGGCUGAAACUUGAAGGAAUUGACGGAAGGGCACCACCAGGAGUGGAGCCUGCGGCUUAAUUUGACCCAACACGGGGAAACUUACCAGGUCCAGAGAUAUAGAGGAUUGACAGAUUGAAGCUCUUUCUUGAUCACCUCGGUGGUGGUGCAUGGCCGUUCUUAGUUGGUGGAGUGAUUUGCCUGGUUAAUUCCGUUAACGAACGAGACCUCAGCCUGCUAGUGUAGUCGGCUGGAUUGCCUUUGGCGAUCCGUGAUUUCGACUUCUUAGAGGGACAAUCGACGCGCAGUCGAUGGAAGUUUGAGGCAAUAACAGGUCUGUGAUGCCCUUAGAUGUUCUGGGCCGCACGCGCGCUACACUGCUGGGCUCAGCGAGUUUUACUUGGCCGAGAGGCCCGGUCAAUCUUGUGAAAUCCCAGCGUGCUUGGGCUCGCCUCCUGCAACUGGAGGCGCCAACGAGGAAUUCCUAGUAGACGCAGGUCAUCAACCUGCAUCGAUUACGUCCCUGCCCUUUGUACACACCGCCCGUCGUUCCAUAAGAGUGAGGCAUCCGGUGAAUUCUCGGGAGAGCCUGGGCGUGGCCAGCAAUGGUCUGCUCGGGUUUGAACUUGCAUAAACUUGGUGCCUAUGAUUAGGG
rnacentral:rRNA from 1 species